ACGGGUGAGUAACACGUAAGGAACCUGCCUCAAGGAUUGGGAUAACUCCGAGAAAUCGGAGCUAAUACCGGAUAGUUCAUCGGACCGCAUGGUCCGUUGAUGAAAGGCGCUCCGGCGUCACCUUGAGAUGGCCUUGCGGUGCAUUAGCUAGUUGGUGGGGUAACGGCCCACCAAGGCGACGAUGCAUAGCCGACCUGAGAGGGUGAUCGGCCACACUGGGACUGAGACACGGCCCAGACUCCUACGGGAGGCAGCAGUAGGGAAUCUUCCACAAUGGACGAAAGUCUGAUGGAGCAACGCCGCGUGAGUGAUGAAGGUUUUCGGAUCGUAAAACUCUGUUGUAAGGGAAGAACACGUACGAGAGGGAAUGCUCGUACCUUGACGGUACCUUACGAGAAAGCCACGGCUAACUACGUGCCAGCAGCCGCGGUAAUACGUAGGUGGCAAGCGUUGUCCGGAAUUAUUGGGCGUAAAGCGCGCGCAGGCGGCCUUUUAAGUCUGAUGUGAAAGCCCCCGGCUCAACCGGGGAGGGCCAUUGGAAACUGGAAGGCUUGAGUACAGAAGAGAAGA
rnacentral:rRNA from 1 species